rnacentral:rRNA from 1 species
GACGAACGCUGGCGGCGUGCCUAACACAUGCAAGUCAACUUGAAGGAAGGAGCAAUCUGACCUGAUGGUGGCGCAAGGGUGCGUAACGCGUAAGUAACUUGCCCCAAGGUAAGGAAUAACGUCGAGAAAUCGGCGCUAAUACCUCAUAAUGCAGCGGAUCCGCAUGGAUAUGUUGUUAAAGGUUUACCGCCUUGGGAUAGGCUUGCGUCUGAUUAGCUAGUUGGUGUGGUAAUGGCACACCAAGGCUACGAUCAGUAACUGGUCUGAGAGGAUGAUCAGUCACACUGGAACUGAGACACGGUCCAGACUCCUACGGGAGGCAGCAGUGAGGAAUAUUGGGCAAUGCACGAAAGUGUGACCCAGCAACGCCGCGUGGAGGAUGAAGGUAUUCUAUAUCGUAAACUCCUAGUGAGAG